rnacentral:rRNA from 1 species
CCUACGGGAGGCAGCAGUGGGGAAUAUUGCACAAUGGGGGAAACCCUGAUGCAGCGACGCCGCGUGAGUGAAGAAGUAUUUCGGUAUGUAAAGCUCUAUCAGCAGGAACGAGACAAGACGGUACCUGACUAAGAAGCCCCGGCUAACUACGUGCCAGCAGCCGCGGUACUAUGUAGGGGGCAAGCGUUAUCCGGAAUCACUGGGUGUAAAGGGAGCGUAGACGGCUGAGCAAGCCUGAAGUGAAAGGCGGGGUCCCAACCCCCGGACUUCUUUGGGAACUGUACGGCUGGAGUGCAGGAGAGGUAAGUGGAAUUCCUAGUGUAGCGGUGAAAGGCGUAGAUAUUAGGAGGAACACCAGUGGCGAAGGCGGCUUACUGGACUGUAACUGACGCUGAUGCGCGAAAGCGUGGGGAGCAAACAGGAUUAGAUACCCGAGUAGUC